AGAUUCCUCUGUUGGAGUUUUACAGCAAGCCCAGGACAUGGGUACUGCCUCUGUCCCAGUAUUUUAUUUGGUGACUACUUUUAAUGGGUCCGGAUUCAUAAUGCCAGGAGAUGCACUUGGGAUGACUUAACUCUUGGAAACUCUCUCAGUCUUCAGGAACUUUCGAUGUACUGCCUUCAGGCCUUGGUACAACUCUGGACCUUAUAUCCUAAUACCACUGUGUUACAGGAGGGACAAUACUUGCUGAUAGGAACUUGCUGAGAGAGAACUGCAACCCAGAGAUGAGAAAAAUUGGACUCUUAGCCAUUGCUCUCGUGCUACCUUCUGUCAUCUUCUGCUGAAGAACACUGCGAGGCUGACAGCCAUACAGAUCAGAUGUAGGAACACAAUGAACUGGAAAAGGACUGUGUAAACAUAAAUUGCUGGUACUAGAAAAGAGGCCAGAAAUGUAGAAUUACGCUUUUUUUGUGUGUUUGACAAUUGCAAGUUGUGCUUAGAAUUGAGUUUGUUCCUGAAUGUGGAAUUUGUCCAAUGUGGGAUUAAGCAAUGCAUCAUUGUGUUGAGAACAGCAUUUUAAAAGCUGAAGUGCUUUGCCAGUGGAUAAGAUGGGAAUUCUGAAGUGUUUAGGAUAAUACUAAGGCAGCGCUAAGUAGCUAUGACAAAAACACCAUCAGUUGGUGGUUUUCAAAAUCCUGUGGAAAGGUCUGAACCUGGCCAUCUCUUCUCAGAGUCAGCAUAACUCUCUCUAGUUUUAUAUUUUGAAAGCAAACAUUUCAGUUCUUAAAUUCAUGCAAGUAACUCAAUAGUCUUAAGCCCAAUCAUUACGCUUUCAAGUCAGUGUGCAAGUAUAAAAGGGUAAUGAUAGUCUUUUCAAAUGAACUUGAGGCAAAAGCCUCCAAACCUCUAGUGAAGUGGUAAUCUUGCUGGUGGGUGGGCAGGAGUUAUAUGUCCUUAAGUGGUGUUUCUAUUCAUAUCUGAAUUUUUGCCAAAGAAAAUUUUCUAAAUAAGUCUGGCUCUCUGAAAGCCAGUUGUAAGCUGUAUUUACUUCUGGGUGAAUCCAGAUUAAAAAAUCUGCACUGUAGCCUUAAUGUACUUGAAACUCUUCAAAAAAUUAUUGGGCAUUUCUAGACUUUGGUCUUUUCUCCUUUUUCUUUGUACAAACAGCUUCUUUUGUGCACCUACAAAUUUUCCCUAUCUCUACCAAUUGCUUUUCUCUUCUUACUUGCUGCUUUUUCUUCCCUGUCACUGCUGCUUUCACACUCAUUUUCUUUCCACUCUUUGCUACCUUUUCCAUUUGCUCAUAGCCAUGUGGCUACGUAAGCCAUCAUAAAGAUAAUGCGCCUUCUCAUUCCAGUUCAGUGAUAACCUUGUCUGUCUCCUGUAGCUUGCCUCUCUUCCCUGGAAGAGCAGUGAAGUACACCAACAUUAAAUCUGGGAUGGCUGAAGAGCCCUGCCUCGGCUGUAGAGCAGGCAGUGCUUUUGCUGCUGGAACAUCCUGUGCAGGCUUCAGUCAACUGGUUUUGCUGUUGUUCCUCCAGGAUUUGGCCUUACAGUAUCAUGCUUUUAAUUAUUUGCUCAAAUUAUGUUAAAAUGCUUGUAGGUAAUGCAUUAGUGAGCAUUAGUAGACUUUCUCACUCCCCAAAUGUUUCCCAUUUCCAUUUAAAUUUGAUUAUUCACAAAUACUGAGGAGAGAGACUAAUAUGUCCUGAAUUGGUGCAGGGCAUGAUACUGAUGUUUCUCACAUCCACUUGGCGGUUGAUGAAUCCUGUUCUCAGUCUGGCCCAUGUGUGUUUUAAUUUGUCAUUGUGUUUCUUUGUCUGUUAGCCUGUUGUGACACUGUCAGUUCUGAGCUGCAAUUUGCUGAGCUUUAAAUAACUCAAGUUUUGAACUUUCUGACCGGUAUUAUUAAAUAGUGACAGGAUUAGUCAAGGAGAAAAGAAAAAAGGUUCUUGACGAGCUGCCCUAACGCUAUUGAAUGGACAAAAAUUGGCCCUGUCAUUCUUGUUCCUACUUUUGGGAAUCUCAGGGUAAUUACAAUCAGCAAAACCCACUAAGCCAUACCUCAAAGAAGCUGAAGUUGUAAUGCAAUUAUUUUUUUUCUGAUGAUUUGCUUUCUCCUCUCAAUUAUAUAUAUCUAUAUAUUAAAAGAUAACAAAAGUUAACAAUUGCUUCCUCUUACAGUAUGUGCAUCAGAUAAACAAUGUACCAGUGGUAAAUUAAAGGCAAACAUUAAAUCAGAAUAUAAUACUACUAAUAAAAGUGGAGUAGACAGCAAAUGCAGCUGAUGCUCAGGAGGACUGGCUGGGUCUGGUCCCACUUCUGAUGUUUUGGUUAGUUAAAAGCCAUGAUUAUGUUCCACAUGAACUGCAACUUUGUAUAUGUGUUUUGCAUCUAUUUACCAUAUUAUGGAGAAGAUACAGACGGAGAUGAAACUGUUAUGGAGGAUUUGAGAUGGAAUGAGCAUGCUAAUGAGCCUAUGCAAAAAUGCAUCUAUUAGCCAGAUGGUGAGUUACACUGGCAUUGACUUCUGUUUACCAUCUGUUUAAUUCUCAGGAAGAGAUAGGAAAGAAGCUUGAAGUGGUGUAGAGGAGCAACAAACAGUAAUAGAGCAGUAACCUUCACAAUCUGUCCUGAAUGUUGCCUUUCUCAAAUAGUUAAAUACCUGUUUCUUGUCUGGCAGGGGAUAGCAAACUACAGACAACUUGCUAAGUUUUCUACUGCUUAGUUCUCCUGCGUCCCCAUCCUCAGCAUUCCAUGAAAAAGGAAGACCUAUAGUCCCUCAGUGAGAAAAAUUGUUCAAAGCAAAUUAUUACAACAACAGUAAUAAUAAAAUCUUUAAACUACUAAACAAUAAUUAUCGCUGACAGGAAAAAAAAAGUCCUUCAUUUAGAGAAAGAAAAACCUAAGGUCAGGACAGUCCAGUAAUCGUAUUUAAAAUUUUUAUUUAAAUACAGUUUGCAGUGUCAAACAUUUCAAGCUAUGUUUCUUAAACAUUUCAAGUGACAAAAUCAGAAGAAAAUAAUAGCCCAAUGUUGUACUGACAGAGGUGAAUAUUUUACACAAAGUGGAAAAUUCCAAAUUGCUUAACAAUGUCCUUAUGCAAAGGCACUUGAAUCUCACAUUUCGUGUUUGCUAGCUCACUAGAGGGUAGCAGAGAGAGACAAACAGAGAGAGAACACUUUAGCACAUUUUCUGCUUGGUAGAGAUGAACACACUUGCUAUGGUUUCUGCAGUCUUAGAAACGUCUGCUGCCCUUCAGGCUCCUUGGUAAAGCAGAGGCUGUGUUUGAUGCUGAGUGUAAACCAACACUGUAAAACUGAAUUUACACAAUUCUAAAUCAUUCCUGGUUUUAACAUUGCUCAUAGUUGGAUGUUUUUUAACUUAUACGCAUUUUUAGGAUGCAUAUUGUUCAGGGAGAGCAUUUUUGCCUUCACUGUAUUGUGCACGGGGGACGCUGUCCCAUAUAGUAGAGAGAUCAUUUUAAAACAAUACCUUAACCUUGGAGGGAUGCAGCAAUUCAGGGCAUGCACUACUGUAGUCAACACCUGCAGUCCAAAAUCUCUCACUGCCACCACAUUAAAUACUUGGACAAAAGAAGCUGUUGCACUGUGCAUGGAUGUCUGCCUGGUUAGCACAGCCCUUGAGUGGGUUUGGAAGGCAUGCUGGCUCAGAGCAGGAGCUAGAACUCACUGGGGGCAACAUGUCUGUGCUCAUUGUCAUCUCCAAUCCCUUUUGACAUUUCAGUCCUCCCAUAAUAUAGACCCUGUGGCGUUAAUUACUGCCUCAAAAUUCAACAGGUUUCAGUGUGACUUACUUCUAUCCUAGGGAAUACAAUGAGUUUCAUAAAGACGUGUUGAAGUCUGGCCAUACCCAUACCACACUCUUAUAGUACUAACAGGCAAGCAAAAAAUGUUGCCCUAUAGCAACACACCAUCAAUAUAUAUUGAUUGCAGUGAACACUCUUAGGUAUUUAAUAAAGAAGAUUUUGAAGUUAUGCAGUUUUAUGAGGUGUUGUUAGAGGUAAUGUUUCACUGGCUGAGGCUGGUAUUAUUACUGUGUUAGAGAUCUUUUUUUUUUUCCAAAUAAUUCAUAUUGUGGUUUGCCUUUGUUUGCCUGUGAUACAGAAAAUAGUCUCAAGAAUAGAUUGCUUGAAGUAUUUUGCCCAUCUUUGUUGUGUGUAAGCUUGAGUUUAUGGCAAUAAAAACUGACAAACAGUCCCACUAUUUAAUCAAAUGCCAACAAGAGGAGCUAUCUAAAGUAUACUUGCUUCCCUACAAACAACUCAAGGCCCAAAGUAACACCUUUUUGUACUGUGCCUGUAAAAGAACGGUAUGGAUUGAAAAGCUGUGCUGCUGUCAUGCCCUUCUCCUUGGAGUCUGCAUGCACAUGCAUAGAUGAGACAUGCCUGAGGCACCCUCUGUCCCUUGCCUCCUUUUGAAGCUUUUGCAAGAGGUGCCUUGUGACAGCCUAUCAUUGCAGCUGGUAUGGGAGGCUUGCUAGGUGUAACCCAGCCUGAUGUUCUGCCCAUCAAAUGGCUUCUGUAAAAAAUAAAAUUGGGAAUCCUUUGAAUGGAUCUUUUUGCAUUAAAACUUUUGUCAAUUUCUACAUUGCUUCUGAUCUGAAUUCCACAAAAAGACUGUAAGCCACAGAGGGGAUUCAGAAAUGUGCUCCUUAUCAAAUAUUAUGUGAAAUAAAAAAGAAAGUAUGUUGUGUAGAGAACCGUCCUCCUUGUUCUGCUGAUUCAGAUGUUUAGUGAUUAAACAUCUAGAAACCAAAAUUGAAAUA